AGUGAACGCUGGCGGUAGGCCUAACACAUGCAAGUCGAACGGCAGCACAGUAAGAGCUUGCUCUUACGGGUGGCGAGUGGCGGACGGGUGGGGAAUACAUCGGAAUCUACUUUUUCGUGGGGGAUAACGUAGGGAAACUUACGCUAAUACCGCAUACGACCUACGGGUGAAAGCAGGGGAUCUUCGGACCUUGCGCGAUUGAAUGAGCCGAUGUCGGAUUAGCUAGUUGGCGGGGUAAAGGCCCACCAAGGCGACGAUCCGUAGCCGGUCUGAGAGGAUGAUCAGCCACACUGGAACUGAGACACGGUCCAGACUCCUACGGGGGGCAGCAGUGGGGAAUAUUGGACAAUGGGCGCAAGCCUGAUCCAGCCAUACCGCGUGGGUGAAGAAGGCCUUCGGGUUGUAAAGCCCUUUUGUUGGGAAAGAAAAGCAGCAGGUUAAUACCCCGCUGUUCUGACGGUACCCAAAGAAUAAGCACCGGCUAACUUCGUG
rnacentral:rRNA from 1 species